UGCAAGCGUUAUCCGGAAUGAUUGGGCGUAAAGCGUCCGCAGGUGGCAAUUCAAGUCUGCUGUUAAAGCGCAGGGCUUAACUCUGUAAAGGCAGUGGAAACUGAAUAGCUAGAGUGUGGUAGGGGCAGAGGGAAUUCCCAGUGAAGCGGUGAAAUGCGUAGAGAUUGGGAAGAACAUCGGUGGCGAAGGCGCUCUGCUGGACCAUAACUGACACUCACAGGACGAAAGCUAGGGGAGCGAAUGGG
rnacentral:rRNA from 1 species